UACAGAGGUCUCGAGCGUUAGGCGGAAUCACUGGGCUUAAAGCGUGUGUAGGUGGAUCGUUAAGUACCUUGUGAAAUCCCACGGCUUAACCGUGGAACUGCUUGGUAUACUGGCGGUCUUGAGCCAGCUAGGGGCUACCGGAACAAAUGGUGGAGCGGUGAAAUGCGUAGAUAUCAUUUGGAACGCCAAUGGUGAAAAACAGGUAGCUGGGAGUGUGCUGAC
rnacentral:rRNA from 1 species